rnacentral:rRNA from 1 species
AAUGCGAUAAGUAAUGUGAAUUGCAGAAUUCAGUGAAUCAUCGAAUCUUUGAACGCACCUUGCGCUCCGUGGUAUUCCGCGGAGCAUGCCUGUUUGAGUGUCAC